UACGAACUGUGCAAACGUUAUUCGGAAUCACUGGGCUUAAAGGGUGCGUAGGCGGCUUGCCAAGUAGGGUGUGAAAGCCCCCGGCUUAACCGGGGAAUUGCGCCCUAAACUGGCGAGCUGGAGUGAGAUAGGGGUGUGUGGAACUUCCGGUGGAGCGGUGAAAUGUGUUGAUAUCGGAAGGAACGCCGGUGGCGAAAGCGACACACUGGGUCUCAACUGACGCUGAGGCACGAAAGCCAGGGGAGCGAACGGG
rnacentral:rRNA from 1 species